rnacentral:lncRNA from 1 species
CCACGCCCAGCUUGUGACAUGGGUGCUGGGGCUUGAGUUCAGAUCAUCAUGCUUGCUUGGACAAACCCCCAGCCCCCCAAAGAACGCUUUAGAUACAGGUGAAGGUAUGAUAGUUAAUCUCACGUGUCAACGGGACUGAGCUAGAAGAUAGCCAGAGAACUGAUGAACAGUUAGUCCUGGGCGUGUCGCUGAGUAGUUUCUGGAAAGAGCUCAGCAUCUGGCUGAUAAACCUGGUGGUACCAUCCAGUCCACUGAGGGUCUCAACAGAACAAAGACAUGGUGGAAACAAGGGACAUAUCCACCCUGUCCCAACCUGGGGCUUGUGGUUCCUGUGUCUGGGAACUCAGUGAGAAUCACCAACUCUCCCUGUUCUCUAGAUAGAAGAUGGUGGAGAACUCUAGCAUCCCUAAUUGUGUGGCCAGUUUCCAUUAUAAAUCACCUCUGUGUAUCUUCUAUUGGGUGUUUCUCUGAAGAGUCUUAACACAGGCUCGAAAGCCUACUGAUCUGUCCCAUGUCUAUCAGUCCAGGUCACUCCUGCAGAGCCCAUGGCCUUUACUACUGUGCCCAUGAUAGUCCCUCUGGGGUCCUUCCAUUUGGCCAUCACCCCAGAGCAGCAUCCACUGAGCUGAGACAUGGAUUCCUCCUCUCACAGUCCAUCCACUUUAUCUAAGGACCUCCCUUUAACCACACAGAGGAAAACAGCUGGAAUCUGCUUUUUGACAAUGGAGCAGAGGUGUCCUAAGGGUACAAGGAGCCACAAGCCAUCUACUGUCUCCGAUGAAGAUGCUUAGUAAAUAUUUGUGGAGCAGAGGAUGAAGGUACUAAAAUGUUUCUUCUUAAGAUGCAGACAAUCUCUGGGAGCCGUUUCUCGCGCGCGAGCAAAGUACCACAUCAGGAAUUCCAGACAUCUGACCUUAUCAGCGGUGCCCCUGCGCUCCUUGCCUGGAGUUGUCUGGACCCUGACAAACACUUCAAAGCCUACCACCCUUGCCUCUCCCGGAGUGAAGGAGGUUGUCUUGGUGUUCCAUCGCUGUGAAGAGACACGGUGGCCACGGCAGUGCUUAUAAAAGAAAGCAUUUAGUUCAGGCCUGCUUACCGUUUCAGAGGGAUUUAGUCCCUUUAUCCCCAUGACAGGGAACAUGGCGGCACGCAGCUGGAGAAGUAGCUAGUGUUCUUCAGCCAGUUCUGAGGGAGCGCGGCAGGAAGAGAAAGACCCUGGCCAGGGUCUAGCUUUUGAAACUUCAAUGACCCAUUCCCAGGGACAUUUCCUUCAAUAAGGCCACACCAACAAGGUCACGCCUUCUAUCUCUUCCCAGCACUGACUGGGAGCCUGGGAGAUAGCUCAGUCAGUAUGGCCAUGAAGACAUGAAUUCCUUAUAACCCAGAAGAAAAUGCCAGGUGCAUGCUUAGAAUCCCACCGCCGGGGAGGAGGAAACUGAAGAUCCCUGGGAUAGCUGGCUGGUCAGCCUAGCUUCCUCAGUGAGCCCCAGGCUCAAUGCUUCCUGUGGCAAGCUCCCAGGGGCCCCACCUCAAGGGUGCCUCUUCCCCAUGACCACCUGUGACCUUCAAAAUGACAGCUGCCAAGGAUGCUGAAGAUGGUCAGCCUGGCUCAUCACCAACUCUGGAACUCAGCAGCUGCAUCAAUGUGGAUGGGGAAAAAAAAGUCUCGGUUACAUUGAUCUUUGCCAGUGUCUCCUUCAGCAACAUACAUCGCCACAACCACAUCUCCAGUGGUCUCUGGGAACAUCAUCACUAUUUUCAGAUCUGUGACAGUUGUGUCAGGUGGUUGAAAAUGUCAUUAAACCCAUUACUGCUUCAAAAUUACAGUCAUUAUUGAAACCUG